GUUUCAAUGCUUGUUCUAAUGCAUUAUGCUCUUUUAC
rnacentral:other from 16 species